CAAGAGCGUAUGUAAAAGUUGUUGCAGUUAAAAAGCUCGUAGUUGAACCUUGGGUUUGGUUGGCCGGUCCGCUUUUUUGCGAGUACUGGAUUCAACCGAGCCUUUCCUUCUGGCUAACCAGUCGUUUCGGCGGCUGGCGAACCAGGAUUUUUACUUUGAGAAAAUUAGAGUGUUCAAAGCAGGCAUUAGCUUGAAUAUAUUAGCAUGGAAUAAUAGAAUAGGACGUUAUGGUUCUAUUUUGUUGGUUUCUAGGACCAUCGUAAUGAUUAAUAGGGACGGUCGGGGGCAUCAGUAUUCAGUUGUCAGAGGUGAAGUUCUUGGAUUUACUGAAGACUAACUACUGCGAAAGCAUUUGCCAAGGACGUUUUCAUUAA
rnacentral:rRNA from 1 species